UGGGGAAUAUUGCACAAUGGGCGAAAGCCUGAUGCAGCAACGCCGCGUGAGUGAUGAAGGCCUUCGGGUUGUAAAGCUCUGUCUUUUGGGACGAUAAUGACGGUACCAAAGGAGGAAGCCACGGCUAACUACGUGCCAGCAGCCGCGGUAAUACGUAGGUGGCAAGCGUUGUCCGGAUUUACUGGGCGUAAAGGAUGCGUAGGCGGAUUUUUAAGUGAGAUGUGAAAACCCUAAGCUUAACUUGGGGACUGCAUUUCAUACUGGAAAUCUAGAGUGCGGGAGAGGAGAAUGGAAUUCCUAGUGUAGCGGUGAAAAUGCGUAGAGAUUAGGGAGAACACCAGUGGCGAAGGCGAUUCUCUGGACCGUAACUGACGCUGAGGCAUGAAAGCGUGGGUAGCAAACAGGAUUAGAUACCCUGGUAGUCCACGCCGUAAACGAUGAGUACUAGGUGUAGGAGGUAUCGACCCCUUCUGUGCCGCAGUUAACACAAUAAGUACUCCGCCU
rnacentral:rRNA from 1 species